UAACGCGCUAGGAAUAUACCUGGAUAGUGGGGGACAACCCGGCGAAAGCCGGGCUAAUACCGCAUACGAUCUACGGAUGAAAGCAGGGGACCGCAAGGCCUUGCGCUAUCAGAUUAGCCUGCGUCGGAUUAGCUAGUUGGUGAGGUAAUGGCUCACCAAGGCAACGAUCCGUAGCUGGUUUGAGAGAACGACCAGCCACACUGGGACUGAGACACGGCCCAGACUCCUACGGGAGGCAGCAGUGGGGAAUAUUGGACAAUGGGGGCAACCCUGAUCCAGCAAUGCCGCGUGUGUGAAGAAGGCCUUCGGGUUGUAAAGCACUUUCGAUGGGGAAAAACAAGCCAGACCUAACACGUCUGGCCCUGAUGGUACCCAGAGAAGAAGCACCGGCUAACUCUGUGCCAGCAGCCGCGGUAAUACAAAGGGUGCAAGCGUUAAUCGGAAUUACUGGGCGUAAAGGGUGCGUAGGUGGUUUGUUAAGUCAGGUGUGAAAUCCCUGGGCUCAACCUGGGAACUGCAUUUGAUACUGGCAGACUCGAGUCUGGUAGA
rnacentral:rRNA from 1 species